rnacentral:lncRNA from 1 species
AGGAACCCCGAAAACCCCAAAUAUUGUUUUUUCAUUUUUCAUUUUUUUUUGGUCUAACUAACUCCAAAAGGUUGGAAAAGAGUUCCUACAAAGGUUUUGGACAGUGAUUUUAACCCUAACGCCAAAAAAACUUAAACCUUACCAUAGCCCCAAAACCUAAUACCCGGGUAUUACUUUCAGGGAGCCCGAAAACCCCCAAUAAUAUUUUUUUCUUUUUUCAUAAUUUUUGGUCUAACUAACUCCAAAAGGUUGGAAAAGAGUUCCUACAAAGGUUUUGGACAGUGAUUUUAACCCUAACGCCAAAAACCUUAAACCUUACCAUAGCCCCAUAACCUAAUACCCGGGUAUUACUUUCAGGAAGCCCGAACACCCCAAAUAUAUUUUUUUUUCAUUUUUCAUUUUUUUUUGGUCUAACUAACUCCAAAAGGUUGGAAAAGAGUUCCUACAAAGGUUUUGGACAGUGAUUUUAACCCUAACGCCAAAAAACUUAAACCUUACCAUAGCCCCAUAACCUAAUACCCGGGUAUUACUUUUAGGAAGCCUGAACACCCCAAAUAUUUUUUUUUCAUUUUUCUUUUUUUUUUGGUCUAACUAACUCCAAAAGGUUGGAAAAGAGUUCCUACAAAGGUUUUGGACAGUGAUUUUAACCCUAAUGCCAAAACCCUUAAACCUUUCCCUAGUCCCAAAACCUAAUACACGGGUAUUACUUUCAGGGAGCCCAAAAACCCCCAAUAAUAUUUUUUUCUUUUUCAUAUUUUUUGGUCUAACUAACUCCAAAAGGUUGGAAAAGAGUUCCUACAAAGGUUUUGGACAGUGAUUUUAACCCUAACGCCAAAAACUUAAACCUUACCCUAGCCCCAAAACCUAAUACCCGGGUAUUACUUUCAGGAGCCCGAAAACCCCCAAUAAUAUUUUUUUCUUUUUUCAUAUUUUUUGGUCUAACUAACUCCAAAAGGUUGGAAAAGAGUUCCUACAAAGGUUUUGGACAGUGAUUUUAACCCUAACGCCAAAAAACUUAAACCUUACCCUAGCCUUAAAAUCUAAUACCCGGGUAUUACUUCAGGAAGCCUGAACACCCCAAAUAUUUUUUUUUCAUUUUUCAUUUUUUUGGUCUAACUAACUCCAAAAGGUUGGAAAAGAGUUCCUACAAAGGUUUUGGACAGUGAUUUUAACCCUAACGCCAAAAAACUUAAACCUUACCAUAGCCCCAUAACCUAAUACCCGGGUAUUACUUUCAGGAAGCCCGAAAACCCCCAAUAAUAUUUUUUUCUUUUUCAUUUUUUUGGUGUAACUAACUCCAAAAGGUUGGAAAAGAGUUCCUACAAAGGUUUUGGACAGUGAUUUUAACCCUAAUGCCAAAAAACUUAAACCUUACCCUAGCCUUAAAAUCUAAUACCCGGGUAUUACAUUCAGGAACCCCGAAAACCCCAAAUAUUGUUUUUUCAUUUUUCAUUUUUUUUUGGUCUAACUAACUCCAAAAGGUUGGAAAAGAGUUCCUACAAAGGUUUUGGACAGUGAUUUUAACCCUAACGCCAAAAAACUUAAACCUUACCCUAGCCUUAAAAUCUAAUACCCGGGUAUUACAUUCAGGAACCCCGAAAACCCCAAAUAUUUUUUUUCAUUUUUCAUUUUUUUUUUGGUCUAACUAACUCCAAAAGGUUGGAAAAGAGUUCCUACAAAGGUUUUGGACAGUGAUUUUAACCCUAACGCCAAAAAACUUAAACCUUACCAUAGCCCCAAAACCUAAUACCUGGGUAUUACCUUCAGGAAGCCCGAAAACCCCAAAUAAUAUUUUUUUCUUUUUUCAUAUUUUUUGGUCUAACUAACUCCAAAAGGUUGGAAAAGAGUUCCUACAAAGGUUUUGGACAGUGAUUUUAACCCUAACGCCAAAAAACUUAAACCUUACCCUAGCCUUAAAAUCUAAUACCCGUAUAUUACAUUCAGGAACCCCGAAAACCCCAAAUAUAUAUUUUUUCAUUUUUCUUUUUUUUUUUGGUUUAACUAACUCCAAAAGGUUGGAAAAGAGUUCCUACAAAGGUUUUGGACAGUGAUUUUAACCCUAACGCCAAAAAACUUAAACCUUACCCUAGCCUUAAAAUCCUAAUACCCGGGUAUUAAAUUCAGGAAGCCCGAACACCCCAAAUAUUUUUUUGUUCAUUUUACAUUUUUGUUGGUGUAACCAACUCCAAAAGGUUGGAAAAGAGUUCCUACAAAGGUUUUGGACAGUGAUUUUAACCCUAACGCCAAAAAACUUAAACCUUACCCUAGCCCCAAAAUCUAAUACCCGGGUAUUACUUCAAGGAAGCCCGAAAACCCCAAAUAUUUUUUUUUCAUUUUUCAUUUUUUUUUUUGGUCUAACUAACUCCAAAAGGUUGGAAAAGAGUUCCUACAAAGGUUUUGGACAGUGAUUUUAACCCUAACGCCAAAAAACUUAAACCUUACCCUAGCCUUAAAAUCUAAUACCCGGGUAUUACAUUCAGGAAGCCCGAAAACCCCAAAUAUAUAUUUUUUCAUUUUUCAUAUUUUUUGGUCUAACUAACUCCAAAAGGUUGGAAAAGAGUUCCUACAAAGGUUUUGGACAGUGAUUUUAACCCUAACGCCAAAAAACUUAAACCUUACCCUAGCCACAAAAACUAAUACCCGGGUAUUACUUUUAGGAAGCCUGAACUCCCCAAAUAUUUUUUUUUUCAUUUUUCUUUUUUUUUUUUUGGUCUAACUAACUCCAAAAGGUUGGAAAAGAGUUCCUACAAAGGUUUUGGACAGUGAUUUUAACCCUAACGCCAAAAAACUUAAACCUUACCAUAGCCCCAAAACCUAAUACCUGGGUAUUACUUUUAGGAAGCCCGAACACCCCAAAUAUUUUUUUUUUUUUUUUUUUUUUUUUUGGUCUAACUAACUCCAAAAGGUUGGAAAAGAGUUCCUACAAAGGUUUUGGACAGUGAUUUUAACCCUAACGCCAAAAAACUUAAACCUUACCCUGGCCUUAAAAUCUAAUACCCGGGUAUUACUUUCAGGGAGCCCGAAAACCCC